rnacentral:rRNA from 1 species
UACGAAGGGUGCAAACGUUGCUCGGAAUUAUUGGGCGUAAAGCGCACGUAGGCGGUAUUGCAAGUCGGAUGUGAAAGCCCUCGGCUCAACCGAGGAAGUGCGCGCGAAACUGCAUAGCUUGAGUACCGGAGAGGAUGGUGGAAUUCCCGAAGUAGAGGUGAAAUUCGUAGAUAUCGGGAGGAACACCGGUGGCGAAGGCGACCAUCUGGACGGAUACUGACGCUGAGACGCGAAAGCGUGGGUAGCAAACAGG